rnacentral:lncRNA from 1 species
GCAGCUGCCCCCCGGGAACGUGAGGGGAGAUUAAGUGGGCACAGGCAGGGAGCGUGAGAUUCUCCCCAGUUGUGCCUCUUCAAGGGCAAAAAGUGUGUUGCCUUCUUGUUUACACACAUACGCGCACACACACACACACACACACACCAGGCGGUUCCUGGUACAUCCGGUGCCUGAGGCCCAGGUCUGUUGGGACCUAAAGUUCCAGGGGUCAGUAGGCUCCUGUCAAGGCUCACCCCCUGCCAGAGGCUGGCGGGGGGCAAAGCAGGACAAACAGCAUGGAUUACCCGAGCAGCCAGAACCCACCCUCCUGCCAGUCCAGGGUGGACCUAAAGCUCCCGGUCUCCACCCACUGGGGAGUCGCCUUGUCCUUUCCGCAGGGUGGAGGGGACACUUAAUGUUUUUUUAGGAAGAGUCAUGAUUAAUCAUUGCUGCGCUUCCACACUGGACACUGAGCGAAGGCCUUUUGUAAUUCCCCAUAAAGUCGUAGCGUCGACACUGGGUUCCAGAUGAGGAACCCAAGGCCAGGGAAGCUCGGAGGGCACAGCUGGGGGUGAGCAGCUCCUCAUCCAGGGCUCGCUCCCAAGCUCCCAGCUUCUCUCUGUCCUGCUCCUCGGCGCCUUGUGUGUCACACCUGGACUGUGACUGGGAAGCCACCUCCCCACCUGCUCUCCCCUCCAUCCUGCCUGGGACGGCAGCAAGACCUAAGAUCCCGCCCUCGCCUGCAAAUGCCACGUCCAGAGCAAGAAGAGGAAGCACCGCGGCUCCUCCGGCUUCCGCAGAGCCCAGUCCUGGUUCCCAAAGGGACAAUUCUCCAGAACAGCAGCCGUUUUACUGGACAGUAUCAGAUCCGAAAAGGAGUUGAGACCCAGUGGAUCAGACCCUAGCUUAGGGCUACUCCGAUCUGGGUUCAGACCCCUGCUCUGUCCCUUUAUAGAAGUGGGGAUGGACCCCAGCGCUCACAUGUGGUGGUGGGGGGCUCUGCCCUGCCCUUCACCCCCAGCCCUUUUAAAAUCAUUAUUUUGAGACAGGGUCUCACUAAGUUGCCCAGGCUGGCCUUGAGCUUGUGACCCAGGCCAGUGCCACCAUACCUGGCUCAGUUAACUCUUCCUCUUAAUUGUCUGUAGAAUGGAGGUAAUGCAGACUCUCAAGGUGAUUGGGGAGGUUAAAAAUAGUACUUAGAAAGUUCUAGAACAGGCCAUGGCAUUAAC